rnacentral:misc_RNA from 1 species
UGCUUUUGAAUAUUUGUAGGUAAAAUAGCUCUUUCAGUGGCUUUUGGAGUCCAUAUUUUUAUGUCAUUCUCAAUUCCACUGCUGGCAAGCAUCGCGGUAUGAGGAUGGGACUCAAUGCAGUUCACUAUAUGCUUAUCUGCUUCCAUAACACGAACAAGAUCCCCACCCCUUUUCUUCCAUAUGAAAAUUCUACCACAAUCUGAUCCACUCACAACAUAUUCACACUUGGGCCCAAAAAAGUUCACGCCCUUAACUGUUUCAGAGUUUCUGUGCCCCUUGUAGACUUGUGGACCAAUGUUUGCUCCAUACUCCAUGACAAUUGCAGAUUCAUCAGAUUCGUGAUCUUGGCCCAUUUCGCCCUCAUCACUUUCAUUGUACAAUGGCGAUGUAGGGGAUGGAUCAGGUCCCAGCCCCAUGUCCUUUGUGAAAAGAUAAAUAAACUCUUCAUUAUAUGAAACAAGAAGCUCACUCUGGUCAGAGAAAGCCAAACCUGUUAUCCCCACAUUCUCAUCACCAACAAGAUGUGGGGGACAG